GACGAACGCUGGCGGCGUGCUUAACACAUGCAAGUCGAACGAAGAGCGAUGGAAGCUUGCUUCUAUCAAUCUUAGUGGCGAACGGGUGAGUAACGCGUAAUCAACCUGCCCUUCAGAGGGGGACAACAGUUGGAAACGACUGCUAAUACCGCAUACGAUCUAAUCUCGGCAUCGAGGAUAGAUGAAAGGUGGCCUCUACAUGUAAGCUAUCACUGAAGGUGGGGAUUGCGUCUGAUUAGCUAGUUGGAGGGGUAACGGCCCACCAAGGCGAUGAUCAGUAGCCGGUCUGAGAGGAUGAACGGCCACAUUGGGACUGAGACACGGCCCAGACUCCUACGGGAGGCAGCAGUGGGGAAUCUUCCGCAAUGGACGAAAGUCUGACGGAGCAACGCCGCGUGAGUGAUGACGGCCUUCGGGUUGUAAAGCUCUGUUAAUCGGGACGAAAGGCCUUCUUGCGAACAGUUAGAAGGAUUGACGGUACCGGAAUAGAAAGCCACGGCUAACUACGUG
rnacentral:rRNA from 1 species